UAAGCCCAUAAGCUUUGCCUGCUUACUUU
rnacentral:piRNA from 1 species